ACGCCUACGGGGGGCAGCAGUGGGGAAUAUUGCACAAUGGGGGAAACCCUGAUGCAGCAACGCCGCGUGAGUGAAGAAGUAUUUCGGUAUGUAAAGCUCUAUCAGCAGGGAAGAAGAUGACGGUACCUGAAUAAGAAGCCCCGGCUAACUCCGUGCCAGCAGCCGCGGUAAUACGGAGGAUGCGAGCGUUAUCCGGAUUUAUUGGGUUUAAAGGGUGCGCAGGCGGAGGUGCAAGUCCGCGGUCAAAUUGCGGGGCUCCACCCCGUACUGCCGUUGAAACUGCCUCCCUUUAGUGCGCGGGAAGG
rnacentral:rRNA from 1 species